rnacentral:rRNA from 1 species
CAGCCGCCACGGGAAUACGUAGGGUGCAAGCGUUAAUCGGAAUUACUGGGCGUAAAGCGUGCGCAGGCAGUUUGUUAAGACAGAUGUGAAAUCCCCGGGCUCAACCUGGGAACUGCAUUUGUGACUGGCAAGCUAGAGUGUGGCAGAGGGGGGUGGAAUUCCGCGUGUAGCAGUGAAAUGCGUAGAUAUGCGGAGGAACACCGAUGGCGAAGGCAGCCCCCUGGGCCAACACUGACGCUCAUGCACGAAAGCGUGGGGAGCAAACAGGAUUAGAUACCCCCGUAGUCCCUGUCUCUUAUAC